rnacentral:rRNA from 1 species
GACGAACGCUGGCGGCGUGCUUAGCACAUGCAAGUCGAGCGGUAAGGCCCUUUCGGGGGUACACGAGCGGCGAACGGGUGAGUAACACGUGGGUGACCUGCCCUCAGCUCUAGGGAUAAGCCUGGGAAACCGGGUCUAAUACCGGAUAUGACUCCAUGACGCGAUGUUGUGGGGUGGAAAGCCUUGUGCGGCUGAGGAUGGGCCCGCGGCCUAUCAGCUUGUUGGUGGGGUGANGGCCUACCAAGGCGACGACGGGUAGCCGGCCUGAG